GAUGAACGCUGACAGAAUGCUUAACACAUGCAAGUCAACUUGAACUUCGGUUUGGGUGGCGGACGGGUGAGUAACGCGUAAAGAACUUGCCUCACAGAUAGGGACAACAUUUGGAAACGAAUGCUAAUACCUGAUAUUAUGAUUAUAUGGCAUCGUAUAAUUAUGAAAGCUAUAUGCGCUGUGAGAGAGCUUUGCGUCCCAUUAGCUAGUUGGAGAGGUAACGGCUCACCAAGGCGAUGAUGGGUAGCCGGCCUGAGAGGGUGAUCGGCCACAAGGGGACGGAGACACGGCCCUUACUCCUACGGGAGGCAGCAGUGGGGAAUAUUGGCAAUGGACCAAGAGUCUGAUCCAGCAAUUCUGUGUGCACGAUGAAGUUUUUCGGAAUGUAAAGUGCUUUCAGUUGGGAAGAAAAAAAUGACGGUACCAACAGAAGAAGUGACGGCUAAAUACGUG
rnacentral:rRNA from 1 species